rnacentral:rRNA from 1 species
CCCUUAGAUGUCCUGGGCCGCACGCGCGCUACACUGACUGGUGCAACAAGUGUCUACACGUUGGCCUCGAAAGGCCUGCGCAAUCUUGGAACGCCAGUCGUGAUGGGGAUAGGUUCUUGCAAUUUUUAAUCUUCAACGAGGAAUUCCUAGUAAACGCAAGUCAUCAGCUUGCAUUGAUUACGUCCCUGCCCUUUGUACACACCGCCCGUCGCACCUACCGAUUGGAUGGUCCGGUGAAGCCCUCGGAUUGGCCCUGAUCCUUUGGUGAAGGUGCCGAGAAGUAGGCUAAACCUUACCAUCUAGAGGAAGGUGAANUCGUANCA